UAAUAGCGUAUAUUAAAGUUGUUGCGGUUAAAGCUCGUAGUUGGAUUUCGGUUGAGAGCGGCCGGUCCGCCGUUUGGUGUGCACUGGCUGGUCUCAACUUCCUGCGGAGGACGCGCUCUGGGCUUAACGGUCUGGACGUGGAGUCCGCGUGGUUACUUUGAAAAAUUAGAGUGUUCAAAGCGGGCUUACGCUUGAAUAUUUCAGCAUGGAAUAACACUAUAGGACUCCUGUCCUAUUUCGUUGGUCUCGGGACGGGAGUAAUGAUUAAGAGGAACAGUUGGGGGCAUUCGGUAUUUCAUUGUUCAUGAGGUGAAAUUGCUUGGAAUU
rnacentral:rRNA from 1 species